rnacentral:rRNA from 1 species
AGUGAACGCUGGCGGUAGGCCUAACGCAUGCAAGUCGAACGGCAGCACAGUAAGAGCUUGCUCUUACGGGUGGCGAGUGGCGGACGGGUGAGGAAUACAUCGGCAUCUACUUUUUCGUGGGGUAUAACGUAGGGAAACUUACGCUAAUACCGCAUACGACCUACGUGUGAAAGCAGGGGAUCUUCGGACCUUGCGCGAUUGAAUGAGCCGAUGUCGGAUUAGCUAGUUGGCGGGGUAAAGGCCCACCAAGUCGACGAUCCGUAGCUGGUCUGAGAUGAUGAUAAAGCGCAAUAGAACUGAGACACGGUGCAGACUCCAGAGGGAAGCAGCGGAGGGGAAAAGUUGACAAUGGGCGAAAGACAGAUCAAACCAAAGCGCAGAGGUGAAAGAGGACGUCGAGUAGUAAAGCCCUUUUUUUGGGAAAGAAAAGCAGCAGGUUAAUACCCCACUGUUCUGACGGUACCCAAAGAAUAAGCACAGGCUAACUUAGUG